rnacentral:misc_RNA from 1 species
GUUUUAACGUUGUAUUGGUGGAAGAGAUGCUCUGUCCUCUUUUAAUUCCAGUACCAGAGGUGUAGAAUCCUCAUCGGCCACUGGAUCCUCCUUGGAAUCAUCAGAGUCUGAUUGUGAAGGGCUUGGGUGUUACACCGGGAGAUGGAAACGUCGCUUUUGAACGUCUGAAUUUUGCAGACAAUUCCCUUGAUCCUGAGAAAAUGGGGACGUUGCGUGAAGAAGCUUCGGUGGACUCUAGCCGUCAUCUUAACUGUCAUCCUUUAAACUUGGGAGAUACAGAACCCGGGUCCUAUCAGCAAAACACUAAUGUCUCCCUCAGCAUCGAUAAUAUAACUGGGACUCCAUUAUCCGCAGGCAACUAGUCACCAGCAGCCGAUUCUGAAUUGGCAAUGAUUACUAAGCAGGUCACGCUGCUUUUCUCCAAUCCUUUAAGCCUUGAUGAGCUGGAGACAGUGCUACCACCCGCAGCUAGAGUUUCUUCUAGUGAGAAUAAUCUCCCAAGCCCAUUGGAGCCCAACUCUAAUGAAAUUAGAAGAAAUGAUACUGGGCCCAAGCACUUUCUAGUCCAUAGCCCUUUAGAAUCCAAUAUUCCUCUCUCUCAAUUCAAAGUUAACAGAUUGCCAAAACAGAGAGGAAAAGGAAGUUGUUGUAGACCUUUGGGACCUGUACCCGAAAUUGACAUCCAACGGUAAAGUAAAGCAAUCUACAUGUAAACCUCUCACAGUUUCUGAUGAGGAUAUUAGGCGUGUGAACUCUAAGCAUUUAGCUACUUUACCUUCCCAUCAACCUAUUCAACUAAUUAAAGAAGCCCCUCUCACAUUAGAGGUGGGAAGAAAUCUUGGGUUUGAUUAGAAUCAGUUAUUGCCUCCAUCAUUAGCCCACAACAAUCUGUGUUUAUAAAGGGGCGG